rnacentral:rRNA from 1 species
AUACGGAGGGUCCAAGCGUUGUUCGGAAUCAUUGGGCGUAAAGCGGGUGUAGGCGGCAAGGUAAGUCGGGUGUGAAAUCCCAGGGCCCAACCCUGGAACUGCAUUCGAAACUGCCUAGCUAGAGUCGCGGAGAGGAUGGCGGAAUUCCCGGUGUAGGGGUGAAAUCCGUAGAUAUCGGGAGGAACACCAGUGGCGAAGGCGGCCAUCUGGACGGUGACUGACGCUGAGGUGCGAAAGCGUGGGGAGCAAACAGGAUUAGAAACCCCAGUAGUCC